rnacentral:rRNA from 1 species
AUGCAGUUCCUCGCGGCUUCAGCCCCCUCGUCCACCGCGCCGCGGCUCCCCCAGCCCUCCGCCCGCCUCUCGAGGCCCCAUCCCUUCGCGCACCUCCGCCGCCGCUGCGCUCCCCACCUCCCAUCCAAGCCGCCGCCCCUGGCAUCCGUGUCUCCGGUCCUGCUCCCACGGGCACGGCGCUCCCUGGCUUGCACGCCCCGCGCUCACAGCAACCACCACGGGCACGGGCACCAUGGGCACGGGCACGGGCACUGCCAUUGCCACCACGGCUCGAACCUGCAUGGGGGAGGCGGGGGCGCGACGGUCAUGCGGUUGGCGAGGGCGAUCGGGUGGGCUGACGUCGCCGACGCGCUGCGGGGUCACCUGCAGGCCUGCCGCAUCUCCCUCGGUCUCCUCCUGAUCGCCGCCGCCUGCCCACACGUGGCGCCGCUCAACUCCGUCGGGCGUUUGCAGGCCGCGCUCAUCGCCGUCGCCUUCCCUCUUGUCGGGGUAAUGCACUCUCCCAGCUAA